rnacentral:rRNA from 1 species
GACGAACGCUGGCGGCGUGCUUAACACAUGCAAGUCGAACGGUAAGGCCCUUCGGGGUACACGAGUGGCGAACGGGUGAGUAACACGUGGGUGAUCUGCCCUGCACUUCGGGAUAAGCCUGGGAAACUGGGUCUAAUACCGGAUAGGACCAUUGCCUGCAUGGGUGGUGGUGGAAAGCUUUUGCGGUGUGGGAUGGGCCCGCGGCCUAUCAGCUUGUUGGUGGGGUGAUGGCCUACCAAGGCGACGACGGGUAGCCGGCCUGAGAGGGUGACCGGCCACACUGGGACUGGGAUACGGCCCAGACUCCUACGGGAGGCAGCAGUGGGGAAUAUUGCACAAUGGGCGCAAGCCUGAUGCAGCGACGCCGCGUGAGGGAUGGCGGCCUUCGGGUUGUAAACCUCUUUCAGCACCGACGAAGCGCAAGUGACGGUAGGUGCAGAAGAAGGACCGGCCAACUACGUGCCAGCAGCCGCCGUAA